CUGCUUAAAUGGCACACUCCUACACGUGCCCUCAGAUCGCCAACUGCUCACCUCCUCACACCCACAGCUAGCACCGAACCUCGGGUCUGUUUUUAAAGUCUAACCAUUUGACUUGUCUGUCUAUUUCUAUGAUGUAUGUUUUGAAAUCUAUUUUAUCCUCUUUGUAAAGUGUCUGACUUUUUUCUAAAAGCGCUUAUUAGAUCAAAUGUAUUAUUAUUAUUAAUUACUAAACAGAAUAUGAAACUCAUCAACAGAAGACACUACAUGAACAAUAAGUCAGGACAGAGCUAGGUUAUCUCUGUGUGCACAGCGACAACACCACAGAAACUCAGUCUUUUCAUUAAAAACCUGCAACCACCACAUGCACAGAAGCAGUGUAAACACUGGUGUACUGUCUCACCUUUAGAAGUAGUAGAAGAAGAGUGUAUGUAGGCCACACUCGUAUUAUUCUGAUCUUUUAAAAGUAAGUUGUCUUCCUGAGUUGUCCUCCAACUUUUAGGUGGUUCAAAAACACAGGUUCAUUCUAUUUGUGAUAGCUAUGAGAUAUGAGCUGCAGGCUGUCCUCGUCCUGCUUGUUUGAUGUGUAGUGCUGUCCAUGGUGCUGACGGAGACGGCACCGUCGCCAACAAAGCGCCAUCAUCACAGCAGUUUUACUGACUUUGUAACUGACUCGGGCCUUGGAAUGUUUGUGUAGGAGUAGUGAGGUUUAACAGUAGGGUCAUCAUUCAAACAUACAGUGAAUAUAAAUAUUAUGUCAUGGUAGUCUUACAAUAUAAACCUACAUAAAGUUGAUCAUCACAGCUGUGCACAGAUACCUCUGUGACUUCCCCGGUCCAAUAGUGCUCAUGGAGGCCCUGGUGCAAAUUUAUCAUUUAUAAUAUAUACAUUUAAACAUUUUUUUCUAAGCUCCUGUCCCGUGAGGCCCCUGGUACUCGGGGCCCGGAACUUAAGCCGCGGCAUUAGUACUGUUGAUUCGGCUCUUUUAAUCUGACAUGUUGCUUCUCUCUCCCUCAGCCUCCUCUAAGACCAUCUCCGGCUUGUUGGAGUUUGACAGUAAGACGGAGGCAGUGGAGGUUCUUACUGUUCUCAACCACUACCAGAUCAGGAUACCCAACGGGUCCAACCCAUACACCCUGAAACUGUGUUUCUCCACCUCGUCCCAUCUAUAAGAAGUUGCAGAGCACAGGAAGAGCCCGAUGAUGGCCGACCUCUGACCUGGGAGAGGGAGACGGACCAUGAGAGACAGACUCAGACAAGUGGAGGAGAGACGUAAGAAAGGAGACGAGAAUGAGAGCGACAGGUGUGGCCUUUAAAAGGAGAUGAAGAUGGAAACAGACGUGUUAAGGAGAGCGAAGACACCGUCACUGUCUCCAAACUGAACAUCAGGUGCACACCCAUCAUCCCACCGUCCAAUCACAACUCAGCAAGCUGACAGACGGAAAUACUCUAUUAAUGACAGACAGACAGACAGGGACCCCCUCUGUUGAAUCUACUGUACAAACCUUCGUUGUCCACUUCUGUGAUGGUCAGACAUUCUAAAAUCCUCAUUUGUGCACAUGGUGACUACAAUACUAUUGUAAUGUUUAGGAAAUGGAUGAAUACAGUGUGUUGUUUUGAAUUGUCAUUGAACUUAUGAAGUAAAUGUGCAUACGGUUUUAACACAAGUUCUCAUGCAGGGCUCAUUAGUGCCACAGGACCUUUGCCCUGGCGGCAGCGAGGACAGAGGAGCCCCUCCGCUGUUUGGCCCAGAGUGAGAUAUCCUAACUACUGAUGAGUUGUCAGGUUUGUCGGGGAUAUUCAUGGUCCUCAGAGGAAGACUCUCAUGGCUUCGGUGACCCUCUGACCUGACUUCUCCGCUGCAGCCAGCAUGAGGUCUAACUCUUCAGCUUCUAUAACUAAGAUCUAUAGCAUGGUACCUGGAAAACAGAUGGCAGGGUUUCCAAGAAAUUCCCCCGAAUAUUCACGUUUCCAAGAGGAUGAAUUCACACAGUUUUCCCUUUAAGCACCUUCAUCCGUCCCACCAUUACCAGUUCUUUUAACCUAAACAUAUGUCAAACUCUAAUGG